UAUGACGUUAUACUUGUUGACAAGGAUGCAGUUUGUUUCUAACACUCUUGCAAACAACACGUGUCAACCGAGAAGCAGUUUUAAAAUUAAAAUGUCUGACGUUGACGUCGAUCUGUUUAUAUCUUCGGUUCAGGAACACCGUUGUUUGUGGGAUACUAGUGACGAAACCUAUAAAGACAAAUUUAUAAAACAAGAAGCAUGGAAAAGCAUUUGUGAGAUCGUUUAUAUUGAUUACAAGGAAAAAAACUCAACCGAAAAAUCAAAACUGGGUAAUGAUUUAGUCAAGAAGUGGAAGGCCAUAAAAGAUAAUUUUGCUAAAUAUCAACAAAAACUAAAAGAUGCCAAUCGAUCAGGAGCUGGAGCUGCAAAAAUUAAAGAAUAUCACUUGAAUAAACAAUUACAGUUUUUGAAAAAGGUUUCACAAAAUGCAACUGAUUCCAGUUUAUGCGUAGCGGAAGGAGAUAUUGAGAAUGAAAUAACGGCAUUGCCUCGUUAUUAAAGUCAACCACGAAAACGAAAGGCAGAUGAUAAGGAUGAUAUUGAAGAAGAUUUAUUGGCAAUAUUAAAAAACACCGGAGAAUAGACAUUUGCAUUUUUUCAAGGGGAUUUUACCAUCUCUACAAUCGUUAAAUGAGAAUCAAACAUUGAUAUUUCAAAGUCGGGUGCUUCAAAUAUUAACCGACAUUCUUCAACCUUCAAUUCAUCAAAAUACACAUCACGGCUAUAAUCAAGAAUAUCAGCAUCAGGGUUACAAUCAAGGAUAUUCAACUAUGAGAUACGAUAAUACGGUUCAGAGUGGCUACCACACUUCUACUCCUGGAAGUUCGAUUACUGAACAGAGGACUACCUCAUCAUCAAACCAACAACGUCCAAUAAAUUCACCAUUUUUACUGGACGAAACGUCAGCUACUUCCUAUGUUUCACAAGAUGAGGAGUUUGAUUUUUCUUAAAUUGAUCAUUACAUUUUUUAAGGCCUAUUAAAGUAUUCUUAAAGUAAGAAAAUUGUAUAAUGCAAAAAGCUUAAUUUGAUUCUGUCUUGUUUCAUUUGAACCUGGCUUUGUACCACUAGGUACCCCCAAACCAUGAACACUAGUGAUGCAAAAUUUUUAUCGACACCCCGCUAGUACCACAGGUGUAUAAAGCCAGGGGUACAAAUAAAACUAAACAUUUGAUUCCGAGUGCCAUAAACAUCAAUAAAAAAAAAUAAGAAACCUAUUUGUUUUACCUUAAAG